UACAGAGGGUGCAAGCGUUGCUCGGAAUCAUUGGGCGUAAAGGGUAGGUAGGUGGUCUCAUUUGUCUGGGUGAAAGCCCAGGGCUUAACCCUGGAAGUGCCCCGGAAACGGUGAGACUGGAGUCCUGGAGAGGGUCGUGGAAUUCCCGGUGUAGCAGUGAAAUGCGUAGAUAUCAAGAGGAACACCAGUGGCGAAGGCGAGUCCCUGGACGAUACCUGACACUGAGGCACGAAAGCCGGGGGAGCAA
rnacentral:rRNA from 1 species